CAAAGCUGAGCGCGAAAGGCGACGCCCACUGACCGCGGUGGGCGCGUGCUCCCGGCAGGCUGUGCGCGACCGCGAACCUUCCACCCGCGCCUGAGGAGCUCACUGCAGCUGAGAGAGCGGGAGGCCGCCUCGCGAGUCCCAAACAGGUUUCUAAAACAACGAACUUAAUGAGAGAACAGCCACCACAGACCUGCGCUCUGUCAGCAAGAAGCCUGAGUUCUCGGAGGUGCAGUUAAUGUCUCAGGGUCCACGAUGCUCACAAAUGCUAGAAAUCUAAAGUCAGGAAGGAGCUCGGCGACGCUCGCCCGGGUCUCCAGCAGCGAGCGGCCGACGCUCCUGCCGGAAGCAGCCGGGACACGGCGACCGCGCGUGUUCUCCAGGCCUCCCCGCCCUCCUCCCCCCUCCUCCCAACCCGCAGGACAAAGACUGCGGGGUCGUUUAAGUCACUCAGGGAGUAGCGGCCUCGCGACACGGGAUCCCAACAACAAUAAGCGUGUGCAGGGGUCGCCUCCCUUGACCGGGGCGACCAGCGGCGGGGACCCGAGCUGAGGAUCGAGGCCCCAGUCCCUUACCCCGAGUCAGCUUGGCUCGCCCCACGUGCCCGCCCGC